GCCACCGUGGCGGAAUGGCAUACGCGACAGGCUGAGAACCUGUGCUCCCACGGAGUAUGAGGGUUCGACUCCCUCCGGUGGCA
rnacentral:tRNA from 1 species